UGGCGACCGGCGCACGGGUGAGUAACACGUAUCCAACCUGCCGAUAACUCGGGGAUAGCCUUUCGAAAGAAAGAUUAAUAUCCGAUAGCAUAUCAAUCCCGCUUGAGAUUGAUAUUAAAGAAUUUCGGUUAUCGAUGGGGAUGCGUUCCAUUAGUUUGUUGGCGGGGUAACGGCCCACCAAGACUACGAUGGAUAGGGGUUCUGAGAGGAAGGUCCCCCACAUUGGAACUGAGACACGGUCCAA
rnacentral:rRNA from 1 species